AUUUAUUCCCUGACAAAUUAAAAUUUGAAUCAUUAGUAAUUUGGAAGAAUUACAUUGAAAAAAUUAUUUUGAGAUCUGGUUGAUUUUCAAUGAACUAUGUUCAUGAGACAUCUACCAAACAAUAAAUGUUUAAGAUAAGAAAUAAGUAUAUCAUGUGACUGUAACUGAUGGAGAAAGUCUCACGGAUGAGAUGGUAGAAAAAAGGGGAAAAUAAAAACAUUUCUAAUCUUGCAGCCCAACCUUCCACAAUAAGAAAGAUAACAUUAGCAUUUCAGACCAAAACAUUUAGUAGCCUAGGGUAAUAGCACUCCGUAACAAUCAUAUUAAAUGGUUUAGUAUAGUUAUGUUAUUUAUAUUUGAUCGAAGAUCCAUUUUAUAGGAAAGGAAUAUUAACAAUAGGAAUUUAGAUUAAUUCCUUUUCAUCAAAAAAAAAAUUAGAUAUUUGAAAC
rnacentral:lncRNA from 1 species